AUAAAAAAAAACUGAAAAAAAAGAAAUUACUGCACUCAUGGCCUUCCGGUCUUAACAUGUCACUGGCACUAAAAUUCAUUUUUAAUCCAAACUCCUAAGAAACCCACAGGGGUAUUUUAAACAUACAUAAAAGUAUAGUAAGUAUACAACUGUGUAUGUUUUGGUAAUAAAAUACUUCACAGAAAUGAAAAGCUUAUACUUUCAUUAAAUAAGAUAUUCAUAACUCCUACCACUGAUACUAAGAAAGAUAUUAGCAAAACAGUUACAAAACUAUAAACAACUGUUGGCAGUUCAAGAAGAGAGCCUUAGUCUUUGUCUUUCCACACAGCAUUUUGUUUAAUGUUCAACACACAAAGGAUACUUUUGUGAUAUAAGCAGGACACUAUUAAUGAAAAUUGAUUUUUAUCUUUGCUACAAGAUCCUUAAAGGAGUUCAUAAACUUGUUAGAGGGAGAUUGAAUGAAAAUUGACUUUUACCUCUAUGACAAGCUCCUUUAAAUACAAUGAAGCAACUCAUAAACAUUGUGAUACUAAUUUAGCUUUACUGAAAUUAAGCAACACACACACACACACACACACACACACACACACACACACACAUUGACUCCACUCUAAAUACUUGUAGUUUAACUUACAAGAACUCAAAAAAAUAAAAAUUAGGAGCUGGAAAUAUAACUCAGUUGAUAGUACAUUUGCCUGGCAUUCAUUGAAACCCUGGGUCCAAUCCCCAAUUGUGUUGGUGGGGGAGGGGGGGAAUUGGAGAUAAUGCCUAAAGAAAUAAAAAGUUAAUCUAUGUCACCAUCUAGUGGCCUUAGAAUAUAGUUCUGAAAGGAGAAACUUCUCCAAGGUAAGCGUGCUGUUCCUAGCUGGGCUAGCAGAAGAUCCACCUUACAGGGACCAGUAUCAGCACAAGACACCCCAAGACCAAGUUCUCAGCACAAAGAUUUAUUUGCCAUAGAGGGGAAAAGGAAGGGAGUAAGAGACAAAGAAUAGGGAUGAAGGAGUAGGGGAAAUAACAAGGGAGUGGGGGAGGGUUAUUUAUCCCAGGGACCAAGGAUGGUCUCUGAAGAGAAAGGACCCAACCAUGGCACAUAGAAAAAUGGCAGUUUAUAUAGGAAAAAGGGGACACCCUCCCCCAUCCUACCCCUGUGUUAGGACUUGGUGUUUAAUUUUGACUGGGCAUAUUAAUUAGGUGAGCCAAAGGGGGCUUUUGAUUGUUGGACUUUAAUACUUUGAUAACUGGACCUUGGUCGUCAGCCAUAGGAGGAGGAAGUAGACAAAAUAAGGUGGCUUGCUUUAGGAAUGUAAUCUAACGGUUUUUAGCAAGGCAGAGGGAAUGUGUGAGGAGGGCAAGGUCCACCAGAGUCAUGUCUGCCAUGUUCGGCUGGCUAGAGUCCCUUCAUACUGCUUCUGUCUACACGGUUGCACAAGUCUAACCUUUGGACAAAAUCAAGCAAGACAAAAUGCCACCAAGGACAUUGAUCUGUUUGCCAGCAUCAUAAGUCAACUAUCUGGCAACUGGUACCUACUUGCUUUUUGAGGUGUACAAACAUAUUUUCACAAAAGCCAGAGUAAAUGAAAAAUAACAUGGUCAGAAAAGUCUCACACAAAGAAGUGAAAAGUAUAAACGUAUAACCUAUUUUAAUAGUAUUUAGUGUAGAAUGUCUUAAGCACAUCUUAAAUUUUAAUACCUAUAUAAAGUAGCAUGCCUGUUUUUCAAUAACUUACCUUUAUAUUUUGAUGACAUUUGUUCAGUGUAGUUUGUUUUUAGAGCUAUAUGUAUUUGCUAAAGCAUAAAAUCCUUGAGAGUUUAAAGGCUAACAGGAUUUCCAAGUUUAUGACACUAAAACAGUUUUAAUCCCUGAUGACCAGUAAAUAAUGUAGUUUAGUAUACAUUAGUAAAGUGGCCAAGAGGCUAUUUUCAGGGAAAUUAUUUAAGAUACUGCGAUUAUUUAGCUAUUUAAUGUUUGUGACAAGUAGCCCCAAUAAGCAGUGUACUUAAAAAUGGUUUCUAAAUCUUACGUCUUCCAAGUGAAUAUAGUUGGAAAAUCAUGAAACCUAGAAUAUGCUUAACAGAGAAAAUAAACUCACACUAGAAAAAUAUAAAUUGUAACUGAAGUUUUUGGAGGGCCAAAAAUCAGAGAACGUCAGGUCAGCUUUCACAUCACACAAAAUUAAUUUCGGUCUCCACGUGUCAAGCCCUCAGACCCACUUUUCUGGGCUCCAGGAAAAUUAACCCAUCUUUGUUCUCGGUGCCUCCCAGACCCUGUUGGGGAUGGGGUUUGGGGUUGCAAUAGGGAUGCAGAGUACUCUGUGAUAAAGGCAAAGGCUCGCUGAUGGUUGCUACAAGUUCACCCCACCCGGAGAAGCAUCCACGCCUCGCCCUACAUUUUGUAGUGUUAGCGCCAUACAGGAGAUGAGGUGAAGGCCCAGGAUGGGGAACAGAAUCAGGUUCAGUGUCCAGAUCUUCACAACCUUCACAUCACCGACCACACCCCGGCUGUGCCUCAGGCGCCUGCGAGGAGGGGCGGAGCCGCGCCGCCAAUUCCCGCCCAGUCUAGCACGGACCCAACUAAAGCUGAGGAGCACACAAGGAAGCGGAAAGAGCGCGUGUCCCGCUGCUCCGCUGCGGUCUAUCUGGGCAGCACCAUGCUCGCGCUCCGAAGCGGCCUGAGGACGGCGCUGGCCCCGCGGGCUCUGACGCCUCAGGUAUGUUCACCUUUUGCUACAGGCCCCAGGCAAAGCGAUGGGACAUUGUAUGAAUUCCGCACCUACUCUCUGAAGCCCUCAAAGACAAAUGCGUUCCUGCAGAAUUUUCAGAAAUACGUUCACCUUCGGACAGCUCACUCUGAGAUGAUUGGAUACUGGACCGUAGAAUUUGGAGGCAAAAUAAACAGAGUGUUCCAUA